rnacentral:rRNA from 1 species
UACGAAGGGGGCUAGCGUUGCUCGGAAUCACUGGGCGUAAAGGGUGCGUAGGCGGGUCUUUAAGUCAGGGGUGAAAUCCUGGAGCUCAACUCCAGAACUGCCUUUGAUACUGAAGAUCUUGAGUUCGGGAGAGGUGAGUGGAACUGCGAGUGUAGAGGUGAAAUUCGUAGAUAUUGCAAGAACACCAGUGGCGAAGGCGGCCA